AACUGCAAACAUUUAAACUGCAAUGUGGGCUAUUUAUUUAUACUUAAUUAAUUUAUACUGAAGAUAACACUAUCUCGUUGACCGUGAAAUGAUGAAGAUUUUUUGUUGCCUAAACUAGUCUUAUUGUCAAAAUGUUUGCUGGGUUGCUGGUUGAAUAUUUUAUGAUUUCUGAAAUAGGAAUACAUAUCUGCGUGAUGAUUAUAAAUUUUAUUACCCUGCUGCAACAGCCUCAGGCAGUGCUGAAACACCAAAGAAACGCUGAGCCUUUGUUAGCCAGCACACAUGCAGGCGGGCAGGCAUGCAUGCAUGUUUUCCAACGAACUAAAAGUACUGCCAUCAAACUGGCCAUGGGCAAUUUUUAUGCUAAAAUGAAUGUUGAUAUGUACACCCCAGUGCUGAUAAAAUUUGUUUGCAUGCCUCAACAAUUGUUGUUGUUCGUUACACUGAUGACAGUUGUUGUAAACUUGCACGCGCACUAACACCAUAGCAACAUUCUACCCAAACAUGUCCACCUAGCAACUGCAAUUACAGUGAGCCGAGAUAAAUGUCAAAAAUCCAAAGAAGUACAUUUUAAUCCCCCUUAUGUAAAUAUAUUUACUCGCUUUAAGUAUAACAAUAGAGCUGAUUAUAAAAAGUUGAGUUGAAAAAUUACAAAACAGCAUCUGUGCUCUGACACCACAUUCCGGAACACACAGAAAAAAAGGAUA